rnacentral:rRNA from 1 species
UGGGGAAUUUUGGACAAUGGGCGAAAGCCUGAUCCAGCAAUGCCGCGUGCAGGAAGAAGGCCUUCGGGUUGUAAACUGCUUUUGUACGGAACGAAAAGGUCUGCCCUAAUACGGCGGGCCCAUGACGGUACCGUAAGAAUAAGCACCGGCUAACUACGUGCCAGCAGCCGCGGUAAUACGUAGGGUGCGAGCGUUAAUCGGAAUUACUGGGCGUAAAGCGUGCGCAGGCGGUGAUGUAAGACAGUUGUGAAAUCCCCGGGCUCAACCUGGGAAUUGCAUCUGUGACUGCAUCGCUAGAGUACGGUAGAGGGGGAUGGAAUUCCGCGUGUAGCAGUGAAAUGCGUAGAUAUGCGGAGGAACACCGAUGGCGAAGGCAAUCCCCUGGACCUGUACUGACGCUCAUGCACGAAAGCGUGGGGAGCAAACAGG